AACGAACGCUGGCGGCAUGCCUAACACAUGCAAGUCGAACGAGACCUUCGGGUCUAGUGGCGCACGGGUGCGUAACGCGUGGGAACCUGCCCUUAGGUUCGGAAUAACUCCCCGAAAGGGGUGCUAAUACCGGAUAAUGUCUUCGGACCAAAGAUUUAUCGCCUUUGGAUGGGCCCGCGUUGGAUUAGCUAGUUGGUAGGGUAAAAGCCUACCAAGGCGACGAUCCAUAGCUGGUCUGAGAGGAUGAUCAGCCACACUGGGACUGAGACACGGCCCAGACCCCUACGGGAGGCAGCAGUGGGGAAUAUUGGAAAAUGGGCGAAAGCCUGAUCCAGCAAUGCCGCGUGAGUGAUGAAGGCCUUAGGGUUGUAAAGCUCUUUUACCCGGGAUGAUAAUGACAGUACCGAGAGAAUAAGCCCCGGCUAACUCCGU
rnacentral:rRNA from 1 species